ACAUUGCUGAAGAGUCCCAUACUAGGACGAAACGGCCGUCCAGUGC
rnacentral:hammerhead_ribozyme from 1 species